GGAGACGGAGUGUGGGCG
rnacentral:siRNA from 1 species